ACCUGAGUGGCUCAGUCCGUUGAGCACCCGACUUCAGCUCAGGUCAUGAUCACACAGCAGGUUCAAGCCCCGCUUCAGGCU
rnacentral:tRNA from 1 species